AUGAAAGAUGCUGGAAAUAGGAGCUUUGCAGCUGUCAGUAGGACUAUAGAGGAGUGGGAGAAGUCAGUGGAAUAGUAGGUAUUUGAUAGAGAUUCUGGCAUGUAAAGAGGAGCCCUACUCUGCACCUCAAUAAAGUGGAAAUUUUUUCAACAUAUAUUUCAAUUAUUUAUAGCUAUGGAGCCUUUUGGAGGAUAUGAGCAAUGGAGCCUGUGGAGCACCAUUCUUGGUUCUACAAGCUAUCGUGUCAAUCAUGAGUGGUCGUUUAAGUCGUACCAUCUAUGUUGGCAACCUUCCUCUAGAUGUACGAGAAUCAGAAAUUGAAGAUUUAUUUUACAAGUAUGGUCACAUAGUGGAAAUUGAAUUAAAGAAUCCACCUCGCCCUCCUGGUUAUUGUUUUGUUGAGUUCGAAAGUUCUAGAGAUGCUGAUGACGCAAUCCGGGGUCGUGAUGGCUAUAAUUUCUAUGGCCACCGUUUGAGGGUUGAGCUAGCCCAUGGUGGCAGAGGGCAGUCAUCUUCUAUUGGACGGAGCAGUGGGUAUGCAAGUGGGGGAGGCGGUAAACAUGGAAUUUCUCGUCGUUCUGAAUUUCGAGUUGUUGUUCGUGGACUUCCUCCUUCAGCUUCAUGGCAAGAUUUAAAGGAUCAUAUGAGAAAGGCUGGGGAUGUAUGUUUUGCUCAAGUUUUCCGGGAUGGUGAUGGCACUAUGGGUUUGGUUGAUUAUACUAAUUAUGAGGACAUGAAGUAUGCUAUUCGGAAACUUGAUGAUUCUGAGUUCCGAAAUCCCUUUUCGAGGUCCUAUAUUCGGGUAAGAAGCUAUGAGAGAAGCAUGUCGAGGAGUCGAAGCCGAAGUAGGAGCAGUAGUAGAAGCAGAAGCCCUAGACGGAGUUGGAGCAAGUCAAUGGAAAGACCUCUCUCUAGAUCACCAUCAAAAUCUGUUUCUCCAAGAUCUAGAUCCGCUUCUCCUGUCAGAUUUUCAAGGUCAAGGUCAGGCUGAUUGUGCCAGGCUCAAGGUGCAAAGUGAGGCGCAUGACGUAGCGAAAUGAGGCACCAAAUGAAAUAAGAAAAAAGCAUCAUACUGUAUGGUGGUGGCACUUGCUGUUUUCAGAUGAUCAGUGUUGACAUGGAUAUACUUUCUGGACUUUUGCCUUUUGUGGCAGAGAAUUUAGCUUUUGAUAACUGUGAACUUGAAAUGCUAGGUUCUCACAGUUGUUCUGUUUUCACUACUGUAUUCUGUGAAUGUCCUCAACUAAGUGAUCAGCAUAUCCAGAUGAGCUAGUAAUCUGAACUGUUAAGAAGUAUGCAUUAUGGGAUGAUUGGUAAGUUAGUAUGUUUUAUUUUACUUGUCAGAUUACUCUUCA